rnacentral:rRNA from 1 species
CCUGGCGGCCGUAGCGCGGUGGUCCCACCUGACCCCAUGCCGAACUCAGAAGUGAAACGCCGUAGCGCCGAUGGUAGUGUGGGGUCUUUUUUCUGCUCAUUAUUAGCUCCUUCUGAU